rnacentral:rRNA from 1 species
GAGUUUGAUCCUGGCUCAGAACGAACGCUGGCGGCAGGCUUAACACAUGCAAGUCGAACGCGUGUAGCAAUACGCGAGUGGCGCACGGGUUGAGUAACACGUGGAUAUCUGCCUUUUGGUUCGGAAUAACCCUGGGAAGCUAGGGCUAAUACCGAAUGGUUCCUACGGGAUAAAGAUUUAUCGCCAAAAGAUGAGUCCGCGUCCGAUUAGCUAGUUGGUGAGGUAAUGGCUCACCAAGGCGACGAUCGGUAGCUGGUCUGAGAGGACGAUCAGCCACACUGGGACUGAGACACGGCCCAGACUCCUACGGGAGGCAGCAGUGGGGAAUAUUGGACGAAUGGGCGAAAGCCUGAUCCAGCAAUGCCGCGUGAGUGAUGAAGGCCUUAGGGUUGUAAAGCUCUUUUACCCGGGAUUGAUAAUGACAGUACCGGAGAAUAAGCCCCGGCUAACUCCGUGCCAG